AUGGCGCGCGUCUCCAAUUCCAAGAAGCGCAUGCUCCACACCAACAGCAGCAGCAACAGCCAAAACAAAAAGGAGGACGCGGCCACCGCCGCGGGGAGCGCCGACGGCCGCCCCGUCCGCGUCUACGCCGACGGCAUCUUCGACCUCUUCCACUUCGGCCACGCCCGCGCCCUCGAGCAGGCCAAGCUGCUGUUCCCCAACACGUACCUGCUGGUGGGAUGCUGCAACGACGACCUCACGCGGCGCUACAAGGGCAAGACCGUCAUGAACCAGGAGGAGCGAUACGAGUCCCUGCGCCACUGCAAGUGGGUUGAUGAGGUCAUUCCUGAUGCUCCCUGGGUUCUCACGCCAGAAUUCAUUGAGACGCAUCAGAUUGACUAUGUCGCACAUGAUGCUUUGCCUUAUGCUGAUACCAGCGGUGCUGCAAAUGACGUCUAUGAGUUUGUCAAGAAGAUUGGAAAAUUCAAGGAAACAAAACGGACUGAUGGAGUAUCGACAUCGGACCUCAUAAUGAGGAUAGUCAAGGACUACAACCAGUAUGUCAUGAGGAAUUUAGCACGAGGUUACUCAAGGAAAGAUAUGGGCGUGAGCUAUGUUAAGGAGAAACAACUGCAAGUGAAUAUGAAGAUCAAUAAACUACGGGAGACUGUGAAGGCACAGCAAGAAAAGUUGCAAACGGUGGCGAAGACGGCUGGGAUAAACCACGAAGAGUGGCUGGCGAACGCGGAUCGUUGGGUUGCCGGCUUCCUGGAGAAGUUCGAGGAGCACUGCCACGUCAUGGAGACUGCCAUCAAGGACCGGAUACAGGAGAGGCUGGGGAGGCAGGCGGGCAAAGGCAUUGCCGGCGGUCUCAUGCAGCAGCCGGUGGCGGCGGCCUGA
rnacentral:rRNA from 1 species